rnacentral:rRNA from 1 species
UACGGGGGGAGCAAGCGUUGUUCGGAUUUACUGGGCGUAAAGGGCGCGUAGGCGGCCACCGCAAGUCGACUGUGAAAUCUCCGGGCUUAACCCGGAAAGGUCAGCCGAUACUGCGGGGCUAGAGUGCAGAAGGGGCAACUGGAAUUCUCGGUGUAGCGGUGAAAUGCGUAGAUAUCUGGAGGAACACCGGUGGCGAAGGCGGCGUCCUGGACCAACACUGACACUGAUGAGCGAAAGCCAGGGGAGCAAACGGG